CGGGUGAGUAACGCGUGAGGAACCUGCCUCAAAGAGGGGACAACAGUUGGAAACGACUGCUAAUACCGCAUAAGCCCACAGCUCGGCAUCGAGCAGAGGGAAAAGGAGCAAUCCGCUUUGAGAUGGCCUCGCGUCCGAUUAGCUAGUUGGUGAGGUAACGGCCCACCAAGGCGACGAUCGGUAGCCGGACUGGGAGGUUGAACGGCCACAUUGGGACUGAGACACGGCCCAG
rnacentral:rRNA from 1 species